CGGGCUGCUAUUGGUUGGCGGGUUGCUGGGCGGGUUUUCCGGAGCCGGCCAGGGUUGCAUCAGCAGGAGCCUUCCAGGGCAGCAGUGCGGCCGAGCUAGGUGCCGAGUGCAGAGCCUGGUGCCGGGUGCAGAGUCAGAAGUCUUAACUUGGAGCGUAAAUCUCUGGCUGCAAUGAAUCUGAGUGGAUAUUGAGAGAAAUAGCCUAUGGAAUGGCCUGGAUAGGAAAGCCACGAGGAAUGGACUCCCACUGGAAAAUGCAGCCAUGGCUAAGUGUUCAUCUUUGGCUUGGCUUCCCAGACCUCCCCAAACCUUGAUGUUCCUCAGAAAAGUCUUCAGCAUGCCACAGAACACACGGAAUCAAUGUGUGUGUGAUGCACCGCGAUAUUUCACCACACGGGGGAAGAGAGGGACCUGUGUGCUGCAGUGCAACCCCUCUCCUGGCUACCAGCCACAUGACUUCUGACCCAUUGAGGCUCUCUCUGGACAAACUCUCCGUCUGCCAAGCUCAGCGCCCCUGGGUUCUUCCAGGUUUGUGCAUGGCUUUCACCCUCAUACUUGCCCUUCCCAGUCACCUGAGCAUGAGAACCUAGGCCAGAGACCAGACCUCAGCACUGCUUCGCCCUGGGUCAUCAUGCAGGGAAUUGGUUCAGCCUAUCAGACACUAGCUAGGUGGUUUUUAAAAUUAAGACUUUUGGUUAGGAGGCAUUUUGAAGAUCUAUUUAAGGGUUGGGAGCUGGGAAAAGACUGGAGACAAGGGAUAAUGUAGGUGGGGAAGUGAGCAUCAGGGGCCGUGUGAGCUUUUCCGGUGGGGAGGGUGGUGGUUCACGUUGCACUGUGUCUCCAGAAGAGACAUGCUGGAAUCCUCACCCCCAGCACCUCAGAAUGUGACCUUACCGGAAGUAAUGUGUUUACAGUGGCAAUCAAGUUAAGAUGAAGUCAUUGGGUGGGUCCUAAUCCAAUAUAACUGGUGUUCUCAUAAAAAGGAGAAAUUUGGACACAGAGACAGACAGUUGUAGAGGGAAAGCAAUAUGAAGCAGCAGGGAGGAGACGGCCAUCUGCAAGCCAAGGAGAGAGGCUUCAGGAAACCCGCCCUGGCAACAUCUUGAUCUUGGACUUCCAGCCUCCACAACUGUGAAACACAAAUUUCUAUGUGUAAGCCACCCAGCUUGGUGCUUUGUUAUGCAGCCCUAGCACACUGAUGCAGAGAGAGGGUGACAGGGAAGCAGACAGUCAGAGAUAUAGUAAGAUAUAGUAAGUAAUAAUUGGAACUAAAAGGUAGUCUCCCUCCUCCGUCACUUCUCAGGGAAUAUGUAGGCAGAGUUGAAUCAAAUCAGCAGGAUUCAAAUAGUCUUCUUUAUCUUGGAUACAAUCUGUAGGAGCCUCUUUUCUAGCCUCUCAGAAAUAACCUUUUCUGUGUCCCCAAACAUGAGAGUUAAAACUGGCAGUGCUGUGCUGAGGGUGGGUUGGGAAGAACUGAACCCGAGUGGGGAGGCCUGACCCUGACGGGCAUGGUGCCGUGAUCUCCAGCCAGACAGGGCUGAGGAAGUCUGCUGUGAGGACAGAGAGCACGUGUCAGGUUCUGUGGGACAGGACCUGCUCAGGGGAGCAAAUUCCAGGGGUGUGGAAGGUUCUGACAUGAUUCAACAGUACAAGGAAUUGCCUUGUCUGUGAGAAACCAGAGCAGCCCAGUUCUGGCGUUUAAACUCCCUUCCAGUGAGACAGCAGGGAGGCGCCACGUCACGAUGACCAUGCAAGAGACGGAUGAUGCACACAGAUGCAGCAAUGUCAGGGCCUGUUGUGGAUCGUUUCAUGUAAUCCUUGUCAAUGAUCCCUCAAGAUAAGAUGUUUUCAUGUUAAGUUAAAAUUGGAUCAGGUGACCAAGCAAUUGCUCAAGUUAUCUCAGUUACUAUGCAGUGGAGAGGUGAUCAGAAGGCAGGUCCCUCUGAUUCUCACACUUGUAAUUAGCAUGUGUGCAGGACAGUGCGGGGCCCAGUCCUGGGUGGGGUGGGAAACAGCAGGGACCAUGACCGAGAGAAAGAGGACUUGGCAGCUGGGAUCUGCACCUGAUGCCAGGAAGAGACAGUGAACGCUCUCUCUGCAAUAGGUAUCACCAUAAUAAUUCAAAGGGAAUGCAUCCACAGAGCUUCCAGAGGGGUGUGUGUGCGUGUGUGUGCACGCGUGCAAGUGGGCACGUAUGUGUGUAUGAGUGCAUGUCUGUGUAUGUGUGUGUGUGCAUGUGUAUGAGUGUGUGUGCCUGUGUAUGAGUGCAUGUGUGCACGAAUGUGUGCAUGUAUGCAUGUGUGUAUGAGUGUGUGUCUGUGUGUGCCUGUGUGUGCAUGCAGACACUUGUGUGUGUAUGAGUUCAUGUCUGUGUGUGUGCAUGUGUAUGCAUAUGUGUGCAUGUAUGCACGUGUGUAUGAGUGCAUGUCUUUGUGUGCUUGCAUGCGUGUGUGUGUGGUGUGAGGUAGGAAAGUACAGGUGAGGCCCACCACAAGAACAUUUUCUAAGGCUGGAUGACCACAGAUCAGGCAUCUGGUUGGGAAGCACAGUGUCAGAUGGAGGAGACUUGGGAUUCAAGACUGAGGCCUUGGGCAAAUCCGGAGCAUCCAAGACUCCCUUCCAAGCCAGGCUGACCACGAGUUGGAUGUGAUGCAAAUAAUGACCAGACAGAACAGUGUUGAUAAUAUUGGAUCUCUGAUAAUUUGAGGCUGUGACCAUGUUAAGGAUGUCAAAAAGUCCUUCCUGUUUUUUCUAAAGCAUCAUUUUGCAUAAUAAUUUCAAGGAAGCUAUUUCAUCAGCCUGUGUCUGGAGAUUACCAGGGCAAUUUUGAUGGAUGACAGAUAGAAAGCAGAACUCAUCUCCUGGAAUGCGUCUCCUUCUUUGUGAAGAGAUAUUAGGCUGGAAAGGCUGGAUGAUGAUUGAGCUGCAGCUAGGCCACGUGGAAAUUCUGUAAAGGACUUGGUACUGCCCUAUGGGAAUCCUUGCUCCUGAGCCUAGAAGAACACACUCUCGGACCUUUGAGGACCUGGGCAAUGUCUGAGUCCGCAGAGUCUCCCUCCUGCUGUGCUCUGAGCCUGGAGGAAGGUGGGAGUGCGGCUGGAGCCAGAGACAGCACUCAUGUUCAUGAUCACACUGUACAAAGCACCUAAGCCACAGUCCAUGUCUAAUCACCCUGACACUGCUCACAUCGAGGCCUUUUGCAAAGGAUUGGAUAACCAGUAAUUACAGCAAAACGCUGUCUUUUGUCUCAACAGCUCUUUCACCAUGAGAAGAACCAGGUACCCAAGAGUAUUUUUUACCCUGGAUAAUUUAGCAGUUCUAGAAGGCUCCUAAUCUAAUUAGCUUAUUUUUCUUGAAGUGCGAUGAACCAGGUCAGCCCUACUUGUAACGUCUCUCUAGCCUCAACAGGUUUUCAUCUACUGGCUGGAAAGGCUGGCUCUGCCAUUGGGCUGACCUCACAAGAGGCUAGUUGAAUGCUUAUGUUCCAGGUUGCUCCCCACUAUUCCCUGGCCUGAGGGUCAUUUGCUCACUCACUAAUUCAAUCACAAAUAUUCUCUGGGUGGAUUCUCUGUGCUAUGGAGAUCAGGUGAGUAUUUUGUACUUGAAAACCCUAAAACAGAAAGUGAAUUAAUUUUUUGAUCAAGAAAACUGACUGUCAGCUUUGCCUUUUUGAAACUUCUCACCUAGGACAUUACUAGGCUCUGCAGGACGGGGUUGGUGAGAAGGUAGUAGUCCAAGAGAUUUUGUAAGAAUAAUAAGCAAGAAUUAAGCCAGAUAAUUCAUGAGGAAUUUGUAAAGAGUAAACCACUGUACAAAUUGAGAUAUUUCACCUACUAUUGUAUUCAUUUAUUUUUCAUAAUAAAAAGUAAUACCACGGAUGGAAAACAUGUCCAUUAAGAAUCCCAUAAACUGGAGAUGGGAGAAUCACAGCUGUUUCGAAUGGGCAAAGUUUAAAUCAUAAAUGGACUCUCAACAAAAUAGAGCAGGCUCGUGAAGAUGUAGAAUGUCUUGGGUUUCUGCUGGACUCAUGUCUGCUUGGAGAAGUGAGAUGAUUAUUCUCUGUUGAUUAGAAUGGAAAAAUAAAUGUCAUUUAUUUUUUAUGUUUAAAAAAAAACCCUCACACAUUUGCAAGAGAAAAUGUGAGAGGGAGUCCUUGAGAUAAGUAAGUGAUUCAUGCUGACCUUGAUGAUGUUUUGCCUGCUCCAUAGCAACCUUCAGCUGAGAGAAUGGGACCCAGCAGCAGAAGAGCUAUAUUUACAGACUUUGCAACUUUCCUGCAGUCCUGGCUCCCUCCAGGAACAUUCCUUCUAACGCACCCAGAAACCAAAUUAGGGUAGUUUCACCAUGACAGCUACAAAUUUAAUCCAACACGAAGAGUUAGAGGCAGGCAAUUUGUUGUGUAUGAUUCAAGAGUUACCAAAAAUUCCUUUGGAUUUGGGUGUCUUCCACACCUCUUAGGUAAGUUAAACACAUCCUUUUGAUUCUAAGGAAAACUGCUUGUAAAAUAUUUGGGCGCUCUUGGGACAUCAAACAGCUUUUAGAGGAGUGCAUUUUAAUGGUUUACUUGUAAAAGAAUCAGUAAAAGAAGUAGAAACAUAUGGUUCAAAUUCCUCUGAAUUCUGCAAAGUAUUUUAUAGAUGCCUUUUUUUUCCUGAGGGUCUCCCCACAUCUUUGAGUGCUUAUCCUAAAAAUACUCCAAAAAAAACCAUUACAUGUACUGGCACAGCAAGUGAGAUGUCACAUGUAACAUGGGUCUUGCUGAGGCUGCAGACCUGGGCCCUGGCAGACACUGGGCUCAUUGAGAAGUGUGGGGAGAAGGAAAGAAAUCAGAAUGUUUGGGAAUCCUGAGUAAUUAGGGUACAGUCAGAGGUAGCUCGUCCAGGGCUUCAAGGCUCAAGAGCUUACUAACUCCAAGCAGGUAACUUUAAGGCUUAAUUGGAUCCUGAGAACUGAAAAUGGAGAUUGGAUGGUACUAGCAGCUUGAAAGUUGUAGUUUUUGUUGACUCCGGGGCAUUCAAGUUCAACUAAAAUGACACAUUGACCAAACAAAACAGGUCUGUGGGCAGCCUCUGCCACCAGCCUCACCCCUACUGCUCCCCACUCCCAUCUAGCUUCCUGGGCUAUGGGUUAGCACAUGAGUUGAGGAGAGACUUCCCUAAAGGCAGAUGGGUAGAAAGAUGGGUACCGAAUACGAGUCCUGGAUCCCAUGCAUUAUAUCACAUUCCAGUGCACACCGUCUAGGUUUGUGUGAGUACACUCUAUGAUCACACAAUGACAAAAAUCACCUAACCGUGAGCUUCUCAGAAUGCAUCUCUGUUGUAAAGCCACACAUGCCUGCAAUUGUUAUUGUAACAGUUGAGUUUUCCAGUUUUAGGCAUUAACUUAGCAAAUAUAACUGGGCGCUUGCUUUGUGGCCUUCAUUGAAGAUGCAGUGGGGAGUCAACAUGGACAUGGCUUCCCUCACAAGUCAGUUGAGUGGAGAGACCACCCCCACUGAAGUGACCACACAAGCAGGUAUAAGACAGCAGCUAUGGCUGGAACCCUGGUUUGGGUCAAGAGGAGCCUCCCUGAGAAGGUGAAUGAUGAGUGGAGUUUAGGAAAAGCUUCCCAUGGUGUGGGAAUGCAGUGCAAAAAGCCUCCCUGUGUCUGAGGGCCAGAGUAGUUGUAGCUGAGGCUGUCAAUACAGUGAUUUAGGAAUUUCCCUCCUGCUUUCUCCUAAUACGCAUUUGCAGCCUGCACCCUGUGCUAAGGGAAUUGGUCAGGACAAUCAGUUAUCCUGUAUAGCUGGGCAUUCUGGGAGUAGGCUGGACACUGCUGUCACCUCUUUGAACAGCAUCACUAGAAUUCUUAACAAAACAAAAACAAAAAAGAAAACAAAACCAACUUUACACAUUACCUCUACUAUUUUGUCUAGCUUGCAGGAGAAGGUAGGUCAUAUACUUGUUCAGAAAAACAUGUAGGGAGAUGGGAAUAGGUGGGCAGCAGUCAGCUAGAAAGUGGGAUGCGUAGGUUGGAAGCCUGAAUAUAGGCUGGUCGGGACUGGCCAGGGUUGAGAAUUGAAAGGCGGCUACAGCUCAGCUCAUCCAGGACAGGAGGGAAGGUCCAGGCAAGACACGCAUAUCAUUUAGCAAAAUAGUUGCUGUUCCAGGUCUAGAAGGAGAUGAAGCGUAGGAGGUCCAGGUGACUGGAGCAGAAAGAGAGAGCAAGUCUGUGUGCAGAAGAUUUAGAGGCUUAGGACUCACUGAGAAUUGAGGAGCAAGGGUGUUGGGGUGAUCCUAGUAAGGUCACUGGGAACUAAGGAAGCUACAGGCGCCUCUUCUGCCCAGUAUCUGGGUUGGUCCCAUAUUGGAUCCCAGGUCCUUGGGUUGAACAGGCCUUAGAGAUGAACUAGGUGCUGGAGAGAGUCAGAGAGGGAGGAAGGGAAUGAUGCCCAGGUUUUGGCGUGAAUCACUGGGUGAUGAUGAUGCAUUUACUAAGAUAGGACAUAGAAGAGGAGGACCAGGCUUGAGGGGGUCAUGGGCAAAAUGGGUUCGAGAUGCUUGUAGGAUAUUAAAUAUAUUGUUGAAUUUAGACCAUGCUUGUCACAUAGCAGAUGUUCAAUAAAUACUUGUCAAAUGAAUAAAUUGCCCUGAGAGCCAUUUGGAAGACGGAGACUGUAGCACAUGAAUAGCUAUGGGUAGAUCAAGGAGAGAAUACAGGAGAGAAACAAGAGAGGUUUCCCUCCAUGCCAUCCCCACCAGCACUAAUGGUGCCCUUUCAGGCAUGUAACUCAGCAGAGUUCAUGCUAACAUGUCUCACAGGCCCAUCUGGAGUCCCUAACUCUUUAGAGCUUCCCUGGGGUCAUGGCAUGGCUCUUAGUGCUAAGUGCUGCUGUUCCUCUGUAGAGACAAGUUCCUGGGGCCUCCACCAAUAUCUGUUUUCCCUGUUGAACUUCUAUUUGGUCAUCAUGUUCUUGGUGCUGUUCUCCUGGUGCUUUCCAAGUUUUCCAUGGAAUUUCAUUAACGGGAAAAGGAGGAAGCCCAUGUAGGGUUUUGGGAGCAGAGCAGGUUGGGCAAACACUGAAUUUCUUUGAAGCUCCAUUUUAUAAAUCAUGUGAAUAUGUUUUACUUUGAAUUUUCC